UAGGGAAAGCGAAAACAACAAUUUUUUAAGCCUUCGUUGGAUUAAUUAGUUGCAUUUCGCCUAACAAUUGUUGGUUUAUAAUAUUUGCAGAGUUUGAUAAAUCACAUGUUGUACAGGCUGGCAGGCUAGCCUCAACCCUGCUUAGUCUAUUCACCUGAGGACACACACAGAUGAAGAAAUUGACGGACUUGGCAUGGGUGCUCUGACGGAUCAGGACUUGUCGACACUCAUACCAAGCAUUGGGAAACGUGCCCGAUUCCGUGCUCUGAUGUGUAAACUUAAGCCAGAUACCCCCCAGAAUUAUCCACAGCCUCUUCCAAUGACUGAUCCACAGCCUCUCCAACAUAUAGAUCCACAG